rnacentral:rRNA from 1 species
UAUCUUAGUGGCGGACGGGUGAGUAACGCGUGGGUAACCUGCCUUACACUGGGGGAUAACACUUAGAAAUAGGUGCUAAUACCGCAUAACAGGAGAAGACGCAUGUCUUUUCCUUGAAAACUCCGGUGGUGUAAGAUGGACCCGCGUCUGAUUAGCUUGUUGGCGGGGUAGGGGCCCACCAAGGCGACGAUCAGUAGCCGGCCUGAGAGGGUGGACGGCCACAUUGGGACUGAGACACGGCCCAAACUCCUACGGAAGGCAGCAG